CUAUGCGCCUUGCCAGCCCGCUCAGUCAGAGUUUGAUCCUGGCUCAGGACGAACGCUGGCGGCGUGCCUAAUACAUGCAAGUCGAGCGGACUGAUUCGGAGCUUGCUCCGCCUCGGUCAGCGGCGGACGGGUGAGUAACACGUGGGUAACCUGCCUGGCAGACUGGGAUAACGCUUGGAAACGAGUGCUAAUACCGGAUAGUCUUCUGAACCGCAUGGUUCGGAAGGGAAAGAGGCUUUCGCCUCACUGUCAGAUGGACCCGCGGCGCAUUAGCUAGUUGGUGAGGUAACGCUCACCAAGGCGACGAUGCGUAGCCGACCUGAGAGGGUGACCGGCCACACUGGGAUUGAGACACGGCCCAG
rnacentral:rRNA from 1 species